rnacentral:rRNA from 1 species
UACGUAGGGGCUAGCGUUAUCCGGAAUUACUGGGCGUAAAGGGUGCGUAGGUGGUUUCUUAAGUCAGAGGUGAAAGGCUACGGCUCAACCGUAGUAAGCCUUUGAAACUGGGAAACUUGAGUGCAGGAUAGGAGAAUGGAAUUCCUAGUGUAGCGGUGAAAUGCGUAGAUAUUAGGAGGAACACCAGUUGCGAAGGCGGCUCUCUGGACUGUAACUGACACUGAGGCACGAAAGCGUGGGGAGCAAACAGGAUUAGAUACCCUGGUAGUCCCUGAG